rnacentral:lncRNA from 1 species
GGGUAAAUGCAAUCUCACAUUGGGUUAGCCAUGAGACUUUUUGGGUCUAGUCACAUUGACAUUGUAUAUAAGAUACAUUAUGUGUGGAUUUGAUUAAGCAAAUUAAUAGAAUAUUUUUUUCUUCCUCAACUUUCUCUCUCUUCCUAUCUUUUUCAUGCCACCAGUAGCAAGAAAUCUUAGGGUUUCUUGGCUGCCACACCAAGAUAGGAAAGAAAGGAUGCGCUAGGGUUUCUAGCACCCCCUAAAAAUUGCCACCCCCUUGUGCCCUCCUUAGCCGCCCA